UGGGCCACCGUUUGUUGAGUGCAAAUAUGGAUGACUGUUUUUGCCGGCUUCACUGGCGGCUUAUAAGGGUUAUCAAAUAUCACUUUGAUUAAAUUAGAGUGCUCAAAGCAAGUGUGUUACUUGGAUAUAAAUGCAUGGAAUGAUGGAAUAUGUUGUUGUUCUAUUUGUCGGUUUUUGAACGAUGAAAUGAUUGAAAGGAACCGUUGGGGGCAUUCGUAUUGUUGUGAGAGAGGUGAAAUUCUUAGACCACAGCAAGACGAACUACUGCGAAAGCAUUUGCCAAGAAUGUUUUCAUUGAUCAAGAACGAAAGUUAGAGGUUCGAAGGCGAUCAGAUACCGCCCUAGUUCUAACCAUAAACUAUGCCAACUAGCAAUCUGCUUAUAUAUGUUCUAUGAUUAAGUAGGCGGCCACGGGAAACCAAAGUAGGGUUAUGGGGGAAGUAUGGUUGCAAAGCUGAAACUUAAAGGAAUUGACGGAAGGGCACCACCAGGAGUGGAGCCUGCGGCUUAAUUUGACUCAACGCGGGGAACCUCACCAGGCCCGGACAUAGUCAUGAUUGACAGAUUGAGAGUUCUUUCUCGAUUCUAUGGGUGGUGGUGCAUGGGCCGUUCUUAGUCGGUGAGGUGACUUGUCUGGUUAAUUCCGAUAACGGACGAGACCUCGACCUACUAACUAGCUGCCGCUUACUAUUGUAAGCGUUUGGCUUCUUAGAGGGACUUUGUG
rnacentral:rRNA from 1 species